CGAGCUGGAGGACCAACAGGCUCUAGCACUCCCCCUAAGCAUCCUGUCCCUCCAGAACCCCUAGAUACUGGCACCCGCCGGCCCGAGCCAACCGGGGAACCGGGAAGGAAAAAGCAGAACUUAAAGAGCUGCGCCACAAGGCAGGUUAGGCUAGGGGAGAAAUUGAUGCAGCGACCACUGCAGCUCACCUGCUGGUCCAGCCCGAGCGCAUUUUCCACUGCCACAUGACUCAUCCCUGAAGAGUACCGAAAAUUCGGAGUCUUCCGCUGCUGAGCAAGUGCUGGCUUUACCGCAAAGACCCUCUCACGGGAGAACUGCGGCUUUGAAGCGCACCGCGCGGCCACCGAUCUUAUAUACCAACUCGGAGGACUGCUACGUCAGCACGUAAGACGUGUGCCCUCCUCUCCCAGGCGGCAGUCCCCUGCCGUUAGGAUUUCUGCCUGCUUACGGUACCCUGGCUGUAUCAGAGCAGAGUAAGCAGAAGAUGGAGAACUCGGCUCCUCCAGCACCACGCCUGCCUAGAUGCUGCCUGGAUGCUGCCUGGAUGCUGCCCUGCUCCCGCCUUGAUGAUAAUGGACUGACCCUCUGAACCUGGCAGGUGUGAAACCCAGUCUGUGAACAACCCUUGAGGUCCUCAUCUUGGCUUUGCUGGCAUCCAGCUCUUGCAGCUGCUCAUCCAGUUCCAUGAACAUCUCACGCUCCAGAUCCUCCCGACCUAACUAAGCGCUCUGCCCCCUCUCCAGAUGAGUCAUCUUCAAAGACUGUGAUCCAUAUUGGCUGUUCCUGAAAAACUCUUUGGCUGAGUGCUUUCCACAUAGCUCAGGUUGGUCUCAAAGUCAUGGCUAUCCUCCUGCCUCAGAUCCUCCAGUGACUGGAUUACAGGCAUGUGCCACAUGGCACAACUUGGCCUGUUGUUUUGUUUUGUUUUGUUUUUGGUACUGGGGAUUGAACCCAGACCUUUUUUGCACAUGCUAGCCAAGCAAUCUAUUCUUUUCUUUUUUAUGGAUGUGUGUGGUUACCUACGUAAGGAUGUGUGUGCAGGAGCGACAGAGGUCAGAAGAGAGCACCACAUCCCCUGGAACUGGAGUUACAGGCAGAUGCAAGCUGCCAUCUUGGUGCUGGAAAUAAAUAUGCAACUUCUAUAAGAGCAGUACGUACUCUUAAUGGCUGAGCUCUCUUGAGUCCCCUGCUUGGAUUUUUUAAAAACUAAUUUUAUUAGAGAAUACAUUACUUCCUUUCAGACCUAUGAGGAUAUGCCUUUUGCAAAGCAUUUCCUUUAUCCCUCUCCAGAAGAGAAAAGGAAACAGAAGUGGGGGCUGAUACAGAACUCCAACUCCUAUUAAUGGAUGCAAAGUACCCAGGAUGUCAUAAAAUGAGCCCAGUCUUCGGCCAUAAACAAAAGGCAGUCUUGUGUGUUGGCUGCUGCAUUGCCCUGUCAGCCUACAGAAGGAAAAGGAAGGCUGGCCGUUCCGCAGGACACAGCACUAAAAGCACCCUGGUUCAAGAUGAGUGGGAAGCCAUCCCAGUAAACACAUCAUGAAUUUAAAACAAAACAGCAUUACUUCAAAUGAGAUAAUUUUUAAAUAUAUAUUUUGAUGAAUUUGA
rnacentral:lncRNA from 1 species